AACGAACGCUGGCGGCAGGCUUAACACAUGCAAGUCGAGCGCCCCGCAAGGGGAGCGGCAGACGGGUGAGUAACGCGUGGGAAUCUACCCAUCUCUACGGAAUAACGCAUGGAAACGUGUGCUAAUACCGUAUACGUCCUUCGGGAGAAAGAUUUAUCGGAGAUGGAUGAGCCCGCGUUGGAUUAGCUAGUUGGUGGGGUAAAGGCCUACCAAGGCGACGAUCCAUAGCUGGUCUGAGAGGAUGAUCAGCCACACUGGGACUGAGACACGGCCCAGACCCCCACGGGAGGCAGCAGUGGGGAAUAUUGGACAAUGGGCGCAAGCCUGAUCCCGCCAUGCCGCGUGAGUGAUGAAGGCCCUAGGGUUGUAAAGCUCUUUCACCGGUGAAGAUAAUGACGGUAACCGGAGAAGAAGCCCCGGCUAACUUCGUGCCAGCCGCCGCGGUAACAC
rnacentral:rRNA from 1 species